GUGAGGGAUACAGUGUUGAUGUUUUCAGUGAGGUAUACAGUGUAGAUGUUUUCAGUGAGGUAUACAGUGUUGAUGUUUUUAGUGAGGUAUACAGUGUUGAUGUUUUCAGUGAGGGAUACAGUGUUGAUGUUUUCAGUGAGGUAUACAGUGUUGAUGUUUUCAGUGAGGGAUACAGUGUAGAUGUUUUCAGUGAGGGAUACAGUGUUGAUGUUUUCAGUGAGGUAUACAGUGUUGAUGUUUUCAGUGAGGUGUACAGUGUUGAUGUUUUCAGUGAGGUGUACAGUGUUGAUGUUUUCA